CAAGAGGAAGACACGGAGUCCCCUGACGAGGAGGAAGUUUCAACGCAGCGGGAGAAUGCAGUAGAAUAUGUUACUCAAUCCCUUGAAGAUGCUCCUGAGGAUCCAAUUGUGCAGGAGGAAAUCGCAUUUUAUGAAGGAAUUUUAAUGUUUAUAUUACUGUUCUCCAGCGUCGUUUUGAUUUUUAUUGUAUUAUAUAAACCAACCAUUGAUGAGUUGUGGCGGGUGUAAAUGGUAUAUCCUGCAUUGUAUCCAUUUGUCGAUUGUUUCCCCCUCGAUUCAUUAAACCCGUCUUUCUGGCUCAAAAAU